rnacentral:rRNA from 1 species
GAACGCUAGCUACAGGCUUAACACAUGCAAGUCGAGGGGCAGCAUGGUCUUAGCUUGCUAAGGCCGAUGGCGACCGGCGCACGGGUGAGUAACACGUAUCCAACCUGCCGUCUACUCUUGGACAGCCUUCUGAAAGGAAGAUUAAUACAAGAUGGCAUCAUGAGUCCGCAUGUUCACAUGAUUAAAGGUAUUCCGGUAGACGAUGGGGAUGCGUUCCAUUAGAUAGUAGGCGGGGUAACGGCCCACCUAGUCUUCGAUGGGUAGGGGUUCUGAGAGGAAGGUCCCCCACAUUGGAACUGAGACACGGUCCAAACUCCUACGGGAGGCAGCAGUGAGGAAUAUUGGUCAAUGGGCGAGAGCCUGAACCAGCCAAGUAGCGUGAAGGAUGACUGCCCUAUGGGUUGUAAACUUCUUUUAUAAAGGAAUAAAGUCGGGUAUGGAUACCCGUUUGCAUGUACUUUAUGAAUAAGGAUCGGCUAACUCCGUGCCAGCAGCCGCGGUAAUACGGAGGAUCCGAGCGUUAUCCGGAUUUAUUGGGUUUAAAGGGAGCGUAGAUGGAUGUUUAAGUCAGUUGUGAAAGUUUGCGGCUCAACCGUAAAAUUGCAGUUGAUACUGGAUAUCUUGAGUGCAGUUGAGGCAGGCGGAAUUCGUGGUGUAGCGGUGAAAUGCUUAGAUAUCACGAAGAACUCCGAUUGCGAAGGCAGCCUGCUAAGCUGCAACUGACAUUGAGGCUCGAAAGUGUGGGUAUCAAACAGGAUUAGAUACCCUGGUAGUCCACACGGUAAACGAUGAAUACUCGCUGUUUGCGAUAUACUGCAAGCGGCCAAGCGAAAGCGUUAAGUAUUCCACCUGGGGAGUACGCCGGCAACGGUGAAACUCAAAGGAAUUGACGGGGGCCCGCACAAGCGGAGGAACAUGUAGUUUAAUUCGAUGAUACGCGAGGAACCCUACCCGGGCUUAAAUUGCAGAUGAAUUACGGUGAAAGCCGUAAGCCGCAAGGCAUCUGUGAAGGUGCUGCAUGGUUGUCGUCAGCUCGUGCCGUGAGGUGUCGGCUUAAGUGCCAUAACGAGCGCAACCCUUGUUGUCAGUUACUAACAGGUUCCGCUGAGGACUCUGACAAGACUGCCAUCGUAAGAUGUGAGGAAGGUGGGGAUGACGUCAAAUCAGCACGGCCCUUACGUCCGGGGCUACACACGUGUUACAAUGGGGGGUACAGAGGGCCGCUACCACGCGAGUGGAUGCCAAUCCCCAAAACCUCUCUCAGUUCGGACUGGAGUCUGCAACCCGACUCCACGAAGCUGGAUUCGCUAGUAAUCGCGCAUCAGCCACGGCGCGGUGAAUACGUUCCCGGGCCUUGUACACACCGCCCGUCAAGCCAUGGGAGCCGGGGGUACCUGAAGUGCGUAACCGCGAGGAGCGCCCUAAGGUAAAACUGGUGACUGGGGC